GGACCUUUAGCUCAGCUGGUUAGAGCAAUCGGCUCAUAACCGAUCGGUCCGGGGUUCAAGUCCCUGAAGGUCCA
rnacentral:tRNA from 4 species